AAGGCGAAGAGAGGAAUAUUUUUUUUUUCACGUUUAAAUGAUAAAACAAACCAUAAAAAACUAUCUUGUUUCCUCUCCCUCCAAACUCGAUUCAGGAUCUAGAUUUCACAAUUCCUCUCAUUUUCUUUAUCUUCUUCUUCCUCCUCACUCUUUACUGAGUUUUCUAGGCUUUCUCUUUAAUGUUAAAUUCUUUCUUGUUCCGACUUUUGAUUCGGAAAAAUCAAAAGUUAGCGAAAAGGGACGAGUAAGAGAGGAGACGGAGAGAAUAGAGAACAUAUAGAGUUAAAGAAAAGUGAAGGGGCUAACUUUUGAAGAAAAAAUGUUCACAUGUUUUCGCUCCCUGCCACUGUUUUUGAGACACGUCCUUACACUCUGGUCCUUGAGCACACGGUUUUGUUUUACCACCUGAUUUCUUCCUUUUUUGGUUUAAACUUCAAAUCCUUCGCUCCAUUUUUCAAAUCCCCACCCUUUUUAGGAGUAACUGUUGGAUAAUACUACUCUCUGCUCUCUUACCACCCCCCCACCCCCCCCCCCCCCGGGUUCUUCCCCCGACCGGGGUUGGAGGGACAGCCUUCCGCCGCUCAAGCUCAGAUACAUCUAUCUAACCCACCGGAUAUGGAUAUUGGAAGAUACAGAGGCUCUUGGGUGGCUAUCUGUAACUUGAAACCCUGUUAGGUUUUUCAACUAAAGCUCUACCUUAUAUCCUUCUCUUCCUCACUCUUCACCACUCUCUUACGCUUAAUGAGAAGAAAAGAUACUAAAACUCUUUCUGUGAGAUUCACAACCAUGUCUAGAAGACUAUCUUACGCCGAAAAAGGCAAGGGCCUUGUAGCUCCAGCAGACCCCCAAAAAACAGCUAGAAUCAGGUCUCUGCUCUCGACAACUCAGAGCUCAUAAGAAAGCAUUCUCCUACUCGGUAGGUAGAAUCACAAACCCUAAUUUCCAAAGAAUGUGGUCUUUAAUCCCCUUUCUUGCUGAGCACUGGAAAGUAGAGACAACUACAGUGGGUGCAGAUCUGGAAAGGGCUGCUUCCAGUUUCAAUUUGCAUCUGAAAGUGAUGUCUUGAAGGUACUUGAGAACUGACCCUAACACUUCGCUCACUGGAUGAUAAUCUUGCAAAGGUGGGAACCUUCAAUCUCCCCAAGCUUCCCAAACCAAAUCCCUUUUUAGAUCUAAGUUCGGGGAUUAUCCCUCCAUCUCUGGUCCGAUGUGGCCCUAACCUCCAUUGCAAAUUACAUAGGGAUCUUUGAUACUGUCGAGAUAAUCUAAACAAAAGCUCGUAUCAAGUCCUGAUUGAAGGCCUCAACCUCUCAUCAAGAAAGCCACCUUCGAAUUUGACUCUGGUGAAGAAGUCUUAGCAACGCUGGUGUAUGAAAAACUCGAAAAAAUUGUUCCUGUUGGGGCAUGCUGGACCAUGAAGCUCAUGACUGCCCCCUACAUCAAGCUAAAUCUGGUCGAGCCCAUGAGUCAGAGAAGAGAACAGAACUACCAUCUCGAAACUACCAGGACCAGCGGAAGCAAGGAACCUAUACUUAUUCCACCUGCUUUUCAAUUGCCCCUACGCUGAAGAGGUUUGGAGUUUAGCUCCACUGGCUUUGACCUCGAGCCCGAGUCCCAUUUCUACUAAAAGCAAGGGACUUUCAAUGUUCUGAAGGAUCACGUCUCUCCCACUGGUGGCUUGGGAGCAGGAACGCUCUCUGCUUGGAUCUUCUGGAACCUAUGGAUCUCUAGGAAUCAUCUAGUCUUCCAGAAGAGAGUCUUCACCUUGAUUGAAUAAAUGGUGAAAACAAUCCAUGAAGCUUGCGAAUGUUUCACCUCAACAAUCCCCUUUUCUAAAUCUCCACCAUCAAACCCUAGCAUUAACCAGGAUCCUCUCCUAGACCCAGAUCGAGCUUGGAUGUACACAUAUGCAGCUUGGAACCCUGCCACUGAGUGCGCAUGCUUUGGUUGGAUCAUCGAUGAUGCGGGAUCAUCAUCCUCUCACUGAGUGACCUCCUCUUCGGUGACGUCGCCUCUUAUUGCGGAAACUUUGGUGAUGCGUUCAGCCAUGAUCUCUGCUCUCAAAUGUGGGAUUAGCUCUCUUCUGAUUCUCAGGUUCUCAUAAACUUGGUGAAAUCGCAUGGAAUACAUUUGGAGAUUGCUGGACUUCUCAAAGAUAUUAACCUUCUCUCUCUCUUAUUUUCGUUUAUCCAGUUUAAGUUUAUCCCAAGAUCAGUUAAUGUUAGAGCUGAUCUUGUUGCCAAACACGCUCUAGCUGUAAUGAACCAAUUUUAAGUUACUAUUGAAAGUCUUUUUCACAAAAAAAAGGAGAACAUAUAGAGUUCGAAGAUGGCAAAGAAAGGAGCCAGAGAUAAAUUUGAGGCUUAUUUGACAACACAUCAUAUUGAUUUAUUAGUAUACUAGUAUUAUAUCAUGUGCUCCACACGGGCAUUGUUUUUAUAAUUUACGACGGAUAUAAAUUUAUUUUCAAGGUUAUAAUUUACAAUGUAAAUUUAUACUAUUUUGAAGGUUAUAUCUUUAUAUAUAAAAGAGAGUUGUCUCUCUCCUGGUGAAGCCACAUGGGAUUCCAGGUCAGAAAGUCAGGCUCCAUGAGCGCGACACAUUCUGUCACGAUUAAUGGGCUUUUCUCUAUAUGUUAAUAAGUAUUUCAGAUCAGGAUUUUGGGCUUAAGAUAAUGGGGUUUCUAGGCUUGGUAUGUUGAGUAACACAUGAGGGGGUCCCACAUGAGACAACUUCUUCUCCAAAAAUAUUGUCGACGAACAAAUUACAGCGCCGCCCCAUUUUAACAACUCUGGUUCAAACCUACGGCCAAUGAAGAUUCGCUACACCGGCCAUGCUGAAUUUCGAUCAAGGUCAGUUGGAAGGCCUCAUAUUUGGCUGUUCAAUUCCACUUCUUCUACCCUUGGUUGAAUUUUGGAACCGUUAUGGAAGUCGGCUGGAUUCAUGCAUCCUCAUUGACUAUCACAUUAACACCAAUUUCCCACUACUCACACGAUCUAUCAUUCAAUGAACCUCUCAUUAAAUCCUUCGCUUGAAUUCUCCACUAUAAAUAUGCCGGCGGUUGUACUCCACCAUUGACGGUGGCUCCUCAGAUCCUGUGAGACUUAGAGUUUGAAGAAAUCCGGUUAACCUAUGGUUUUUUAUAUGCUUCUACUUGAUGCAAAAGUAAUUCUGUUAAAGGAAUGGAACGAGCACAAGAAACUAUUGUUAAAAUUGAAUCAGAGAGGCUGUCGCGAAACCUAAUUCCGACUAUGUUUUCUCUUUUAAAAACAUGAGAAGGGUCAAAAUGAUGCAGGUGUCCCCGUUACUUUGAAAAGGUCUAAAUAUCCCUUAUAUAUUGAAGGAGAAACAUUUACUUUAAUGCAUUCACACUAAACUCGACAUGUGUCGCUCUCACAGUCAAUUUAAAAUCGAUUGAAUAUAAUUUCUAUAAAAAAAUUCUUAUUUUCCUUAUAUAUACUAAA